rnacentral:misc_RNA from 1 species
UGAUUCCCUGUACUUGCGCAGAAGACGCCUCAAUACUCGCAUUCUCCUCAUCCACAGGAUCUUAGUUGGAAGCCUAGCUUCCCUUGUACCCUUGCGCUUACCAUAGCCGGAAUGGCGUCCUUUCCUCUUUGCCUCCAGAGCCCGUCUAGCACGUGAGCGCGAGUGAAUUUUCUGGGGUUUCCUGAUGAUAAAUCCAUCCUUCACCAGCUUUCGUAUAUUCUGGCGAGAGUUGGCCAUGGAGAUCUCGCUGACCUCAUUGGGAUCGAGCCAGACCUUGCCCUUGCCGCACUUCAGCACGCUCGCGGACAGCCGCUUCUGCAGAUUCAGCGACACCAUUGUUGCUCCUCCUCUCUCUCCUCCGCCGCCGCUCGGCCGAUGUCUCUGGGGCUGCGAAAUGAGGCGGCGGCGGUGUUUUUAUAUGUUAUCGGCGAGCUAGGGUUUCAAGCGCUUG